rnacentral:tRNA from 1 species
ACGUUGAUAGUAUAGUUUGAGUAUGCCGUCUUUCCAAGUCGGGGGUCUAAUAUUUUAGUCAUCGUA